UACGAAGGGGGCGAGCGUUGUUCGGAUUUACUGGGCGUAAAGGGCGCGUAGGCGGCAAUUCAAGUCAGCUGUGAAAUCUCCGGGCUUAACUCGGAACGGUCAGCUGAUACUGCUUUGCUAGAGUGCAGAAGGGGCAAUCGGAAUUCUUGGUGUAGCGGUGAAAUGCGUAGAUAUCAAGAGGAACACCUGAGGUGAAGACGGGUUGCUGGGCUGACACUGACGCUGAGGCGCGAAAGCUAGGGUAGCAAACGGG
rnacentral:rRNA from 1 species